rnacentral:rRNA from 1 species
AGAGCGAACGCUGGCGGCAGGCUUAACACAUGCAAGUCGAGCGCCCCGCAAGGGGAGCGGCAGACGGGAGAGUAACACGUGGGAACGUACCUUUCGGUUCGGAACAACCCAGGGAAACUUGGGCUAAUACCGGAUACGUCCGUAAGGAGAAAGAUUUAUCGCCGAAAGAUCGGCCCGCGUCUGAUUAGCUAGUUGGUGAGGUAACGGCUCACCAAGGCGACGAUCAGUAGCUGGUCUGAGAGGAUGAUCAGCCUCACUGGGACUGAGACACGGCCCAGACUCCUACGGGAGGCAGCAGUGGGGAAUAUUGGACAAUGGGCGCAAGCCUGAUCCAGCCAUGCCGCGUGGGUGAUGAAGGCCCUAGGGUUGUAAAGCCCGUUUCGGCGGGGAAGAUAAUGACGGUACCGCAGAAGAAGCCCGGCUAACUUCGUGCCAGCAGCCGC